rnacentral:rRNA from 1 species
CCUCGGGUUGUAAACCUCUGUCACCGGGGAAGAAACGCUGCAUUUUAAUAGAAUGCAGCCUGACUUAACCCGGAGAGGAAGCAGUGGCUAACUCUGUGCCAGCAGCCGCGGUAAUACAGAGACUGCAAGCGUUAUUCGGAUUCACUGGGCGUAAAGGGUGCGCAGGCGGCCAAGUGUGUGAGGCGUGAAAGCCCGGGGCUUAACCCCGGAAUUGCACCUCAAACUACAUGGCUAGAGCAUUGGAGAGGGUAGCAGAAUUCAUGGUGUAGCAGUGAAAUGCGUAGAUAUCAUGAGGAAUACCAGAGGCGAAGGCGGCUACCUGGACAAUUGCUGACGCUCAGGCACGAAAGCGUGGGGAGCAAAAGGGAUUAGAUACCCCUGUAGUCCACGCCCUAAACGGUGCACACUAGGUCUUGGCGGAUUCGACCCCGCCAGGGCCCAAGCUAACGCGUUAAGUGUGCCGCCUGAGGACUACGGCCGCAAGGCUA